rnacentral:rRNA from 1 species
AGAGUUUGAUCAUGGCUCAGGAUGAACGCUAGCGGCAGGCUUAACACAUGCAAGUCGAGGGGCAGCAUGUCCAGCAAUGGAUGAUGGCGACCGGCGUAAGGGUGCGUAACGCGUGAGCAACAUGCCCUAUACAGGAGGAUACUCCGGGGAAACCCGGUCUAAUACUCCAUAGUAUUAUUGAGAGGCAUCUUUUAAUAAUUAAAGCUUCGGUGGUAUAGGAUUGGCUCGCGUGACAUUAGCCAGAUGGUGAGGUAACGGCUCACCAUAGCAACGAUGUCUAGGGGUUUUGAGAGGAAGGCCCCCCACACUGGGACUGAGACACGGCCCAGACUCCUACGGGAGGCAGCAGUGAGGAAUAUUGGACAAUGGAUGGAAAUCUGAUCCAGUCAUGCCGCGUGCAGGAAGACUGCCUUAUGGGUUGUAAACUGCUUUUAUACGGGAGCAAUAAGGGUUACGUGUAGCCUGAUGAGAGUACUGUAUGAAUAAGGAUCGGCUAACUCCGUGCCAGCAGCCGCGGUAAUACGGAGGAUCCGAGCGUUAUCCGGAAUUAUUGGGCGUAAAGGGUGCGUAGGCGGCCUUUUAAGUCAGAUGUGAAAGACCACGGCUUAACCGUGGGGUUGCAUUUGAAACUGGAGGGCUUGAGUAUCGGAGAGGGUAGUGGAAUUCCCAGUGUAGCGGUGGAAUGCGUAGAUAUUGGGAGGAACACCAGUGGCGAAGGCGACUACCUGGACGAAAACUGACGCUGAGGCACGAAAGCUAGGGGAGCAAACAGGAUUAGAUACCCUGGUAGUCCUAGCCGUAAACGAUGGGUACUAGGUGUAGGAGGUUUCGAUACCUUCUGUGCCGCAGUUAACGCAAUAAGUACCCCGCCUGGGGAGUACGUGCGCAAGCAUGAAACUCAAAUGAAUUGACGG